CCUACGGGUGGCAGCAGUGAGGAAUAUUGGUCAAUGGGCGCGAGCCUGAACCAGCCAAGUCGCGUGAAGGAUGACUGCCCUACGGGUUGUAAACUUCUUUUAUAAAGGAAUAAAGUGAGGCACGUGUGCCUUUUUGUAUGUACUUUAUGAAUAAGGAUCGGCUAACUCCGCUCCGUCAGCCGGGCUAUUACGGGGGAUCGGAGGGUUACCCGGAUUUAUUGGGUUUAAAGGGAGCGUAGAUGGGUUGUUAAGUCGGUUGUGAAAGUUUGCGGCUCAACCGUAAAAUUGCAAUUGAUACUGGCAGUCUUGAGUACAGUUGAGGUAGGCGGAAUUCGUGGUGUAGCGGUGAAAUGCUUAGAUAUCACGAAGAACUCCGAUUGCGAAGGCAGCUUACUAAACUGCCACUGACAUUGAUGCUCGAAAGUGUGGGUAUCAAACAGGAUUAGAUACCCCUGUAGUC
rnacentral:rRNA from 1 species